AGGACUCCCACUGUCAGAUCCAUUCAGUAUCUAAAGCAUACAGAACAGAUAGUGUGUGGAAGAUGCUGUCACUGCAUUACUGGCUCAUGUUUCCUUUGUUUCUGAUCACACUAACAGGUGUCAGCUGUGAUCAACUCACUGCAGUCAAGGAGGAAGAGUCCAGUUUAGAAGGCACCACUGUUACUCUGUCCUACAGACUAUCCAGAGAUGCUAAGAGCAAUGAUUAUUUCUUCUGGUAUAGACAAUAUCCAGGAAAACCACCAGAGCUCCUGAUCUCACACUCUUAUUCAGGAUCAAAAGGAACAGAAAAAAUUCCUGGACUGAAGAUUAAAGUGGAGAAAAACCAAUUCAACAUGAACAUCUCCUCUGCUGCAGUGACAGACUCUGCUGUGUACUACUGUGCUCUGCAGCCCACAGUGACAAGAAACAGCAAAACUCUGUACAAAAACCUUUGGAGCAAAGACAACAGAAUACUCCACAACAUCCACUAGAGGGAGCCACACACUGUUAAACCUCUAUGGUUUUCAUCUAUUUCAGUGACAUGUACCAACACAGUGCAGAGCAGCUACCUAGUCCCACAGAGGUCAGUUAUCCCAUCAGUAGUCUUAAAUCCUCUCUGCAUACAAGUCUGGGUACUGUGGCUCCUCUGAAAAACAAAACUUCAAAUCAGAAGUGAUUGACUCUGUGGUAUAACUCACAAAUAUGCAGCUUGAAGCAGAUAACCCGUAAGCUGGAGAGGAAAUGACAGCUCAUUUAUUUAGAAGAGCUUCAUUCAGCCUGGAAAAAGAGUUUGUUGCUCUAAAAAAAAAAAAAAAAAAAAAAAAA